CAUAUAAAUUAUUAAAAUGCACAUUUAAAUCUAUGGAGUGUAUCUGCUUAAAGACAUACUACUUGUGUUUAAGAGCCAUGACUAUUUGAAAACAGGAAAACCAAAUUUUAGUAAAAUUUCCAUAUAUUGAGACCACUGAUUCUGUGUGAGAUAAUUAGGAAAGAAGAUUUAUUGUUUACCCUUGCAGUGUUUAUGGGGGGAAAAGGUAUUUACAGAAUUACUGUUGCUAGCGAGAAUAUACAGUAAAGUUUAAAACAUUUUGGAGAAUUGAUUUUGAUUCUUAAAAUGUGUCUUUUUGCAACAUAUGCUCUGGUUACCUAUAAAUACAUUAAUUUGGCCCUUGAAAACAUUCACAUCCUAUUCUUUGUUAGCCUUAUUUUUCCAGUCCUUGUUAACUCUCUCAGUGCUGGAUAAUAAACCUGCAUUUCUUUUAAAACAUUUGUUCAGUUUCGGCAUCAGUGUCUUCCCCCAGCACUCCCUUAAUCUAAAUUAGUAACAUUUUACUGUAUGAAAAAUAGUUGCUGUUAACUAAAAAUUCAAUAGGUGAGUUAGACAUGGCUUUUCAAGUAGGAUUUUCAGUGGCUUCAGAUUCCAUCAUACACAAGUGUAUGUUUUUUCUGUGUAAGUUUUUUCCGUGUAAGUUUUUUCCGUGCUCAACCGUAAGUGCUCAACCAUCUUCUCCCCACUUUAGUCUGCUAUGUCAAAAAACUGCAUCAAGCUUUUGUGUGAAGAUCCUGUUUUCGCAGAAUAUAUUAAAUGUAUCCUAAUGGAUGAAAGAACUUUUUUAAACAACAACAUUGUCUACACGUUCAUGACACAUUUCCUUCUAAAGGUUCAAAGUCAAGUGUUUUCUGAAGCAAACUGUGCCAAUUUGAUCAGCACUCUUAUUACAAACUUGAUAAGCCAGUAUCAGAACCUACAGUCUGAUUUCUCCAACCGAGUUGAAAUUUCCAAAGCAAGUGCUUCUUUAAAUGGGGUAAGAACUAUGCAGAGGCGGCGGCACACACUUUUAAACUGUCCUUCAGUUAACUGUGUGGCCUUCAUAUGAUUUUACUCUCGUAACUUUAACUUACUGAUUCAAACUCUUAAGCCAUGUGCGACAAAAAAACAAGUUUUAAAUACACGUUUACUAUGCCUUGUAUGUACACAGCACACUCUAUCACCUUGGAAGCUACAAGCUGGUAUCAUUAAAUGCUGAAAGGUAAUAAAGGGAACAUCUUAGUGGUCUUAUCUCUAGUUGGGUAUAUUUUUGGAAACAAUACUUGUGAUGUUUCUAUUACUGCCUAUGGCUCCUAUGUAACUGAAACAAUUAAUGAUCUACUGAUUUAAAAAAGGCAGUUAAAUCUAGAGCAUUAGUUGCCUUGUGCAGACUCCCAUGACAGCCAUGUCCUAGAAUAAUGGAACACUCUGGAAAUGGGCUAGAAUGUUGAGCAGCAGCCUCCCAAAUCACAGUAUGCAUAAAAGCCAAAACAGAUGACAGAGCUCAGUAAGGAAGACCUUACUAUUUGUGACAUCCAUCAGAAUUUUAACUUGAGAAACUGAUUUCAAGGUUUGUUUUUAAAAUUCUUAUAUUUCCUUUUCCAUUUUUCAGAAAACACUAUUUCAGGCUUUGGUCUGACUUACUGGUUCGUGGGCAUAAAAUAAUGCUAUUAGUGACUUUAAGAACUAAUGAGGCUGGGCACGGUGGCUCAUGCCUGCAAUCCAAGCAUUUUGGGAGGUCGAGGCCGGUGGAUAACGAGGUCAGGAGAUUGAGACCAUCUCAAUGGCCAACAUGGUGAAACCCUGUCUCUACU
rnacentral:lncRNA from 1 species